rnacentral:rRNA from 1 species
UACGUAGGUGGCGAGCGUUGUCCGGAAUCACUAGGCGUAAAGCGCGCGCAGGCGGCGAUCUACGUCUGGGGUGAAAGCCCGGAGCUCAACUCCGGGACUGCCUUGGAUACGGGAUCGCUUGAGGAUCGGAGAGGCAAGGGGAAUUCCACGUGUAGCGGUGAAAUGCGUAGAGAUGUGGAGGAACACCUGUGGCGAAGGCGCCUUGCUGGCCGAUUUCUGACGCUGAGGCGCGAAAGCGUGGGGAGCAAACAGG